rnacentral:rRNA from 1 species
GAAGACGGCCAUAGUAGGUUGGAAACACCUGUUCUCUUCCCGAACACAGAAGUUAAGCUU